GAUCCUUGUAGCCCGGCAGCAUCUUUAAUGCCCAGCGCUUCCACCUCGCUGCUGUUCAUGGCCUUCCCAUCCACCGCCUCCACCACCUUGCAGGCGAUCUCCUGCUCGUGCAGCGUGCGCAGCAUGCGCUCCCUGCGGUCGGCCCGGCGCUUCAGGUUGAUCAUGAAGACCUCAUCGAAGCCCAUCUUGUCGGGGCUUUUGGGUGGGACGGAGAGGUACCGCGAGGGCUCUGCUGGGGGGUUC
rnacentral:lncRNA from 1 species